CAUUAAGAAGCUAAAUAGCGCUAACCUUUUAAGUUAGAGAUUAGGAGCAGAAAUCUCCUCUUAAUGA
rnacentral:tRNA from 1 species